CCUCUCUGGGUGGAAUGCAACAUAGAGUCCGCUGCCACCGUAAACCAUUCUUGAAUGCCACAAUUGAACGUGGUAGCAAUGUAAAACUGGGAUCCUCCUCUUUAAAAAAAAACAACAAAAAAACAAAGGCCAAAAGUUCUUUCAAACGUGUUCGCCUGCUGUUUGCAUUAAGAAUAGUUGUGCAUUGACUGCUUGAACACGUUUCUUUCCUUUGGCUCUAGCAUUAAAUGCGUCUCAAGAAGAAUAUUUAUCUCUUAUAGCACACACAAGCCGACUAGAUCUGAGCCCUAGGACCAUGCCUCAGGACUACUUGGCCUGAUGACUCCUUGCUGUCUCCAGUCCACCUGGUUGUGCUGCUGCUCCAGUUUCAACUGUUCUGCCUGUGGCUAUGAAACCCUGACCUUUUCACUGGACAUGCUACCUUGUCCCAGACCUGCUGUUUUCAACUCUCUAGAGGCAGAAGGAGCUGUAAAGAUACUCUGAAUGAUUGGCUAUGAAAAGCCAACUGACAUUUACUCCUGAGGUGUUGACCUGUUGCACCCUCUACAACCACUGUGAUAAUUAUUAUUUGACCCUGCUGGUCAUCUAUGAACAUUUGAACAUUUUGGCCAUGUUCUGUUAUAAUCUCCACCCGGCACAGCAAGAAGAGGACUGGCCACCCCUCAUAGCAUGGUUCCUCUCUAGGCUUCUUCUUAGGUUCUGGCCUUUCUAGGGAGUAUUUCCUAGCCACCGUGCUUCUACACCUACAUUGCUUGCUGUUUGGGGUUUUAGGCUGGGUUUCUGUAUAACACUUUGUGACAUCAGCUGAUGUAAGAAGGGCUUUAUAAAUACAUUUGAUUGAU